CAUUUUCCUAAAAUGCAUUCCUUUUGGACCUUCUUCUGUGUACUUAGGAAUGACCAGGGAGUCACAAAAGGAGAGUGUCAGAGACGCUGUCAUCCUUGAUGUAGCCAGGAAGAAGGUGCAAGAUAUCUAGAUCUACAAGAAACACUCUCAGAAUGGGAGAGUUGGUUUCUGAGCAAGACCUCGCUACCAAUUAACAGCAGAUACAAGGCAUCAGUUUGUGAGGUGACCAUUCUGCCAAAAGAAAGACACUCCUCUAGAAAAGAGCACUUUGGCAGCACUGAAGUAGCCAGUUCGUGGCUUUCUUUCCAGCUCCCUGACUUCUAAAGCAAUCUGCCGUGGCUACAUCUUGGGCAAAACUUCAAGGGGCUUGUUUGCUCAGACAGUCAUUCAGUUGUUGAGCUGCCAAUCUGGUGACAGGGUUUUUUUGUUUGUUGUUGUUAAAAUCAUUUUGGAAUACAUUAAUCAUUGUUACUGUCAUUAAUUUUGGAAAUUUAAUCACUGUCAUUUCUGUAACUAAUAUACACAGCAAACAUAAUUCACAAAACAAGAAAUUAGAUGCUAUAUUUUUCUCUGGAUAUUUUCAGAGGUCCAGACUACACUUUCCACUACUUUUCAGUUACAGAAGUUAAAACAUGAAACUACACCCUUUUGUGCGAGAUAUUUUUUACACUGUGGUGAUGGCAAAAAGGGGAAUUUCUCAGGCAAAGUACAGUUACUUACAAAAGAAUAAAACUGCCAGCCACUUUUUCAACGAAGAAAAAUUACAAAGUAAACGUUCUCUCUAUAUAGCAGAAGUAUUUCAAUGAAGUCCCUGUACCAAACCACAAAUGUAACAGGAACAAAUGUGUUUUUGGUAUGUUUUCUGUAGUACUCUAGAAGGGGAAAAAGAGGUAAAGGAAAUCAGCAUAGGUCUAUUUACAGUCUUUCCCUAAAGAAUAAAAUUAAGUACAGCUAAAGUGUCCUGCAGGCUAAUGAUACCAUUUUUCAAAGUUCAUUCCUUCCCACCCUUUAUAAAUCACUUUAAAAUUAUAUUAGAUUGCAUUAUAAAUGUGCUUCCAUUAAGUCUUAAGAAUUAAUUUUAGACCUGAAUCUGCCCUAGAUGCAUCUAUUCAUGUUAUAAGAAAAAAUUGAAAUGAGUAUACAAACAAGUUUGAAAUGAGUUUGGGAGGUUUGCUUGUUUGUUUUUACUGUUACUGUUUAUGUUUUUUCUCUGAUGCCUCCACAUCAGAGAUUUUUAACUCUCUGAUUCACACACACAAAAAAAACUCUCAUUCACACACACAAAACUCUCAUUCACACACACAAAAAAAAUCUCUUCAACUAGUUGAAGUGUAAAUAGUCAUACUUUUAUGAUCCUACACACAAUAAAACAAGUUUAAAAUCAAAACCUUGUAAAGCUGCACUCUUGUUUGACUGCUUAGGUUAACAUAACACUACAACCAUCUGAUUCAGCUUUGUCCUGAGCAGUCAUAACACAAGGCAGAAACCACUUCUUUUAUUUUCAAAGACAGAAAUGGGCACACAAAGAAACUCGUUUAAAGUCAGUUGCCAAACUAACGGCACAUGAACCCCACUUAGGGAAUAGAACAAGAUCCAGAAUGAUUUGUCUUUAUAAUAUUUCAAAUAUAUUUUAUUUUAAAAUAUUUCAAAAUAUUUUAUAAUAUUUCGCUCUGACCUCACAUGAGUUGUAUAGAUUUACAGGAUUCUGUCUUCAGACAGAAAGGUGACAAAGGUGAUUAAAAGUAAGGAAAUAUUUCUGGACAGGGACAAGAAGGAAGACGAGAACACUUCAGCAAAUCCUGGAGGUUGGAAGAAAAUUCUGGAGGAGCUUGCUUUGUACCUCCCAUCCACAGGAAUUCAUAGCUAAAGAUGGUAUCUUGGACUGAGAGAUAGCCAGUCUGACUCUGAGAGCUGCUUUCAUGUAUACUAAUAAUAUAAAAAUGCAAGCUUCCAAUAACAUUUGGUUAUUUCUUUUUUUUAUUUUUUUUUUUGGGGGGGGGGGGAAUUUGUGAAAUGGAAAAAAGGCAACAUUUGUGAAAAAUAAAAGUAGAAACAGCAUAUCAAACUUCUGUAGAGUGAAGUAAGAAUUAGUUAUUGGCUAUUUAAGAAAGAUAACUGUUUUAAUUAAUCAUCUAUAAGUCUAUCUACUGCUGUUGUUAUGAAUGAUUGAACCUUUAAACAUCAAGGUGAAUAAUAUCUAACACCACAGAGACCAGAACAGGAAGUAUUAUUUAGGACUGAAAUGAACUAUUUAGGAACAGUGGGAGAAUACAGUAAAGAGGCAGGGAAGACUGAGUAAGAUCAAAUAUGAAUAAGUCAGGACAGGGAGACUGCAUCCAACUGCUACACCACAUUUGUCAGGAAAAUAAAUAGAACAAAACCAUCCUUUUUUAGUAUUUUUUUUUUAAGAGCUUUCGUAUGAAUGUGUGAGUUGUAUUUUAAAAUAUAUUUUGAUUCAUCCAUGGUGUUCUGUGGUUCUGUGGUAUUACCACAUGCAUAGUGUUCUGUUUUCUAAAAGAAAUUGAGGUGAUAUGCAGGAGACACAGACGGUGGCAAUUUCCUUUGCUCAAAGUUCAGGAAAUGAUUGAUUCCAUACCAUUUCACCCAUUACAGAAGACAUUUCAGUGAUGGCCUGUUCAGAGAGUGAACUUCCAUACAGACAGCUUCCUCGUUACCCAGCCUUCAUACUAUAAGCCUUCCAGAAAAAAAAAAAAAAAAAAAA